GACUUUCCGCCAGAGAACUACAAGUGAAAAACUUGAAACUCAAAGGACUUGACGGUGUCCCAUAUCGGCCUAGAGGAGCCUGUCCUAUAAUCGAUACCCCCCGUUCCACCCAACCACAACUAGCAAAAAUACCAGCCUAUAUACCGCCGUCGACAGUUUACCCUAUGAAGGUCUAAUAGUAAACACAAUAGCCCUACAACGCUAAUACGUCAGGUCAAGGUGUAGCAAAUGUUGAGGAAGAGAUUGGCUACAUUUUUUAAUAUAAAAAACACGAAUUGCACUAUGAAAUACUGCAUGAAGGUGAAUUUAGUAGUAAAACAGAUAAGAGUGUCUGUUUUAACAACGCUCUGG
rnacentral:rRNA from 1 species